rnacentral:misc_RNA from 1 species
CCGAAUCUCUGUAUUCUGAAAAGAAAACCUCCAAUCAUAGGCUGCCAUAAAGAGAUUCUUCUCUUCAUAGCCAAUUUGUGCCAAAUUCUCAAUGAGAAGAGCCCAAACGAAGUACCCUGGAGCAAAAUAGUCAGCUGCAGCCAAACCUUGGACUGCACGAACUCGAACACCAGGCGGAUCAAGACCAGUCUCAUUGUCCAAAAUCAAGUGAUCCAACAAACAAAGUGGCCUUUUUAACAUCUCAGAGAAGGAACCACCCCAAAGUCGCUUUCGAAA